GAUGAACGCUGGCGGCGUGCCUAAUACAUGCAAGUCGAGCGAACAGACGAGGAGCUUGCUCCUCUGACGUUAGCGGCGGACGGGUGAGUAACACGUGGAUAACCUACCUAUAAGACUGGGAUAACUUCGGGAAACCGGAGCUAAUACCGGAUAAUAUAUUGAACCGCAUGGUUCAAUAGUGAAAGACGGUUUUGCUGUCACUUAUAGAUGGAUCCGCGCCGCAUUAGCUAGUUGGUAAGGUAACGGCUUACCAAGGCAACGAUGCGUAGCCGACCUGAGAGGGUGAUCGGCCACACUGGAACUGAGACACGGUCCAGACUCCUACGGGAGGCAGCAGUAGGGAAUCUUCCGCAAUGGGCGAAAGCCUGACGGAGCAACGCCGCGUGAGUGAUGAAGGUCUGCGGAUCGUAAAACUCUGUUAUUAGGGAAGAACAAAUGUGUAAGUAACGAUGCACGUCUUGACGGUACCUAAUCAGAAAGCCACGGCGAACUACGU
rnacentral:rRNA from 1 species